GGAGCAUCUGACCCCUGCGUCCCACGCAGAUUCUCUGCUGGGACGUUAACCCCUGGGCUGCCUGAGCACCUGCAUCCUUCAGUCCGUGCCCUACCUUGCUCUAGGCACUGAGAAACAGACGUGGAGAAAGGAGCCAAAAAUCCUCAUAACUUGGGCCACAAAAGAGGCAAUCGUGGACUGCAAUGUGUUGCAUAGAGACUCCUGUAUGAGACGAGAACGUGGGGCCACUCUGAGGAGGUGACCACAGGACUGUGAGCUCAGUGAGAAGGCCGGCCCAGUGUGGGGCUGAAAUGUAUCACGGAUGUCGACGCGGAGCUCAGAUCCCACGGUCAGGCUCCUGAACAGUGAAGGUGUGGCUCUGGCCAUUCCUUGUGGAGAGGAGAGGCCCAGGUGUGGGUGCCUGUCCUGAGCGGUGCUGCUCCUWCAGAAAGUGUGAGACCCCAGCAUGUCUGGAAAGGCUGAGCGGUGAGUGCAGAGGGGCCCUGUGCCACGGGUGGCUUCAGUGAACAGGGUGGGUCUCCAGGGUGGCUCUCGCAGCGCCCUCUGUCCUUGCAGGCUGGGGUUCCUUGUGUCUCUGGUCCUGGCAGGAAAGCCCAGCACAGACUCGCCACCCGUCCAAGGUGAGCCUGACGUAUUCCUUGUUCACCACAGUCGUGCAGAGAAAGGGUUUAUUCAUCUGGGAAAAUGCCCCUGGGCCUGACCCACAGUGUCGUGUUCAAUGUGUCGGCGGCGCCCAGACACACAGAGCUGUCUUGGAUGCCUUUGGGUCCCCGCAGCAGGAACCAUGCCGAAGCUGCUGCCUACCUCCCUCUCUGCACAGACAGGCAGCACCUCCUGUGACCCAGCCCAGCUCUGGCAGCAGCCUGGCAGGCCCCACCUUCUGAACGUCUCCCCAGCCAAGGUGGCACCCCAGCCCCACGGGUCCCCCAGCCUCCUCUACUGCCCAGGCUCCUUCAUGGAGAGGGUGGUCCAAAGCCCACCCAGGAGGCCUGAGGACCAGGCUGCCCUCCCAGGCUCACAGCUACCCCGGGUGUGUGUUCUCCCAUGCCCAGCCUUGGGGCUCUGCAAACCUCCUGUGCUGUCUCCUUUGGCUGCUGGGACUCCAUGGAUUUCUGCAGGAAACCCUGUAGGGUGGCCCACGGAGGAGACCUGAGGAAGUGGACUUUGGUGACGAAAGGCCCACCUGGGUCAGGGCAAGGCCUCAGUGUGCUUUGGCCGGACUUAGCAGGGCUACAUCUGCCAGGGCAACACGAGCAGCUGUGGUCCUACUCAGUGCUUCCCAGAGUCAGGGUUGCCUUGAAUGGUCGGCAGAGUUAGGCUCCAAGAAGGUCAGGGUCCACAUGGCUGUCCCCUCUUUUGGAAUGGAGCUGUAGGUUCCUGAUGUGUGUGGUUGGGAGCCAGAUACAGAGCUCAGGCUGAGCCUUCUCAGGGCCUCUCUAGAGCUUAGGAUAGAACCCGCCCGGCAGGAAGUAGGAGCACUGACACCUGGAUUCAYGUAGACGGCUUUGCUCAGGAAUUCAGCCAUGAGGCCCAAGGUCAGGGUUGCUACCACCAACCGUGGCACCAGCAAGACCCCUCCCUCGGGCUGGGUCRUGGUUCAGUGGCAGAAGGCUUCCAUCCUCAGCACCACAUAAAACCCAACAAACAAACAAAAACUCUCCUCCCUAG